UACAGAGGUCUCAAGCGUUGUUCGGAUUCAUUGGGCGUAAAGGGCGUGUAGGCGGUUCGUUAAGUCUGGCGUGAAAGCUCUCGGCUAAACCGGGAGAGGUCGUUGGAUACUGGCGGACUAGAGGACGGUAGAGGCGUGUGGAAUUCCGGGUGUAGUGGUGAAAUGCGUAGAGAUCCGGAGGAACACCAGUGGCGAAGGCGACACGCUGGGCCGUACCUGACGCUAAAGCGCGACAGCAUGGGGAGCAAACGGGG
rnacentral:rRNA from 1 species